rnacentral:rRNA from 1 species
CCUACGGGAGGCAGCAGUGAGGAAUAUUGGUCAAUGGGCGCGAGCCUGAACCAGCCAAGCAGCGUGAAGGAUGACUGCCCUACGGGUUGUAAACUUCUUUUAUAAAGGAAUAAAGUGAGGCACGUGUGCCUUUUUGUAUGUACUUUAUGAAUAAGGAUCGGCUAACUCCGUGCCAGCAGCCGCGGUAAUACGGAGGAUCCGAGCGUUAUCCGGAUUUAUUGGGUUUAAAGGGAGCGUAGAGGGGUUGGUAAGUCAGUUGGGAAAGGUUGGGGCUUAACCGUAAGAUUGCAGUUGAUACUGGCAGUCUUGAGUACAGUUGAGGUAGGCGGAAUUCGUGGUGUAGCGGUGAAAUGCUUAGAUAUCGCGCAGAACUCCGAUUGCGAAGGCAGCUUACUAAACUGCCACUGACAUUGAGGCUCGAAAGUGUGGGUAUCAAACAGGAUUAGAUACCCUUGUAGUC